rnacentral:rRNA from 1 species
AUUGAACGCUGGCGGCAGGCCUAACACAUGCAAGUCGAACGAGUGGCGGACGAGUGAGUAAUGUCUGGGAAACUGCCUGAUGGAGGGGGAUAACUACUGGAAAAGGUAGCUAAUACCGCAUAACAUAAGAUAUGCCCAGAUGGGCUUAGCUUGUUGGUGGGGUAACGGCUAACCACGGCGACGAUCCCUAGCUGGUCACAGGGGAGGACCACCCACACUGGAACUGAGACACGGUCCAGACUCCUACGGGAGGCAGCAGUGGGGAAUAUGUCACAAUGGGCGCAAGCCUGAUGCAGCCAUUCCGCGUGUAUGAAGAAGGCCUUCGGGUUGUAAAGUACUUUCAGCGGGAAGGCGUUACCCGCAGAAGAAGCACCGGCUAACUCCGUGCCAGCAGCCGCGGUAAUUC